rnacentral:misc_RNA from 1 species
AAGUCGUAACAAGGUCUCCGUUGGUGAACCAGCGGAGGGAUCAUUACAGAGUGUAAAAACUCCCUAACCCACUGUGAACUUACCACUGUUGUUGCUUCGGCGGGGGCACCGUCCCCAGGGACGGCGCGCGGCCUCCGGCCGACCCCGUCGAAGGCCCCAAAACUUUGCAUUACCCUUGUGGCAUCUUCUGAGUAAAAAAACAAAUGAAUCAAAACUUUCAACAACGGAUCUCUUGGCUCUG